CCUUCUGGGAAGUCCUCGUGUUGCACCCCU
rnacentral:rRNA from 1 species